GAGUGAGUGGCGGACGGGUGAGUAACACGUGGGUAACCUGCCCUAAAGUGGGGGAUAACAUUUGGAAACAGAUGCUAAUACCGCAUAAAACCUAACACCGCAUGGUGUAGGGUUGAAAGAUGGUUUCGGCUAUCACUUUAGGAUGGACCCGCGGUGCAUUAGUUAGUUGGUGAGGUAAAGGCUCACCAAGACCGUGAUGCAUAGCCGACCUGAGAGGGUAAUCGGCCACACUGGGACUGAGACACGGCCCAGACUCCUACGGGAGGCAGCAGUAGGGAAUCUUCCACAAUGGACGAAAGUCUGAUGGAGCAACGCCGCGUGAGUGAAGAAGGUUUUCGGAUCGUAAAACUCUGUUGUUGGAGAAGAAUGUAUCUGAUAGUAACUGAUCAGGUAGUGACGGUAUCCAACCAGAAAGCCACGGCUAACUACGUGCCAGCAGCCGCGGUAAUACGUAGGUGGCAAGCGUUGUCCGGAUUUAUUGGGCGUAAAGCGAGCGCAGGCGGUUUCUUAAGUCUGAUGUGAAAGCCUUCGGCUCAACCGAAGAAGUGCAUCGGAAACUGGGAAACUUGAGUGCAGAAGAGGACAGUGGAACUCCAUGUGUAGCGGUGAAAUGCGUAGAUAUAUGGAAGAACACCAGUGGCGAAGGCGGCUGUCUGGUCUGUAACUGACGCUGAGGCUCGAAAGCAUGGGUAGCAAACAGGAUUAGAUACCCUGGUAGUCCAUGCCGUAAACGAUGAGUGCUAGGUGUUGGAGGGUUUCCGCCCUUCAGUGCCGCAGCUAACGCAUAAG
rnacentral:rRNA from 1 species